GGAAGCGUGCCUGAUAUAAAGGAUCUCCUUGAUAGGGAGGAUCAUAGGGGCUCAACCCCCUCGCUUCCU
rnacentral:tRNA from 1 species